GUUAAAUAGUCCUCCACAAAGGGUCACCCAGACCCUCCUAUGCUAAAUGGAAUAUUCAGACCAGAAAUUUUCCUCACCUGUGUCUUCAGGACACACUCAAGUGUUGACUCUCUUCUUCCCUUGGAUGCUAAAGAGAAGACAGGGCUAGAAUAGCUUCCCAGUCCCAGUCAGAAGCAUUGUGGUGUCAUUGAUGGAGGGAUGACAAGGCUUUGGUGACUUGGGUCAUCAUCUCGUUCCCUGCUGAGCUCCUUUUCAGGCAUAUGAAUGCUUUUUGUGUAGCUGCCCAUAAGUCAGAGGUAAUCACCCCCUUUUGGCUGUAAGUUCUUUAACCAUUCCCCAAUUGAUGGACAUCCCCUCAAUUUCCAAAUCUAUGCCUCCACAAAAAGAGCUCCUAUAAAUAUUUUUUGUACAAAUAUGUACUUUUCCCUUUAAAAAAACCUGUUUAGAAUAUAUGGCUCGUUGUAGUAUUGCUGGAUCUCAAAGGGUGUGAUGAGAUAAGUUCAGAGCAGUGUUAGCUUAUUGCUUUAAAAUUCUUUGUUUUGCUUUUCUAGAGAAGAAUAUGUUCACUUCUUUCUUUAAAAAGAUUUCUUUUCAGCUGGAAAGCAGUGAAGCUGCAGAAAAGAAAACAUCAUAGCUAAGGAAAUUACCUCUACAAUGGAAAACCUUCCUAAUGGUGAUUUUACUGUGGAAUGUCUCUGGAGAACCAGAGAAAUGGAAUUAAAAAGACAAGAGCUGGCAACACAAGCAGCCUGGGAAUGUAAAGCUGAGAAAUUUUUCAUCGAAAUUAAAGAGAUACAUGCCAUGGUGAGAGGGGGCAAUUGAUGGGUACUUUCCCCAUUUUUUCCACAAACCUUUCCUCAGGGCCUAUUUGUGUGAAAUCUCAAGAAAACUGGGGAAUGUAGUGAGGAGGAUGUAGGAAAGGCAUCAAAGCAAUAUUCCCAAAUUGGAGGUUGCUGGCAGUUUUGAUGGGCAUCCCAAAGCUUAAAAACAAAUGUUUCUGUGGAGAACCAAUGUCUCUCAAUUCUUCCUAGAAAUUCUGAAUUAGGGAUGAAUUUUAUUUUUCAGCCUUAUACUGUUAAGGGUGACAUGAAUUUACUGUUGUUUCCAAAAUAAGUAUUACUUAAAACAAAUCACUCUUCCUAGCUUCCACAAUUUGAAACACUAAUAAACAUCAUAAAAAUCAACA
rnacentral:lncRNA from 1 species